rnacentral:tRNA from 1 species
AGGAGUAUAGCUCAGAGGUAGAGCAAUAGACUGAUAAACUAUUGGUCGGUGGUUCGAAUCCACCUACUCUUA